AUGAAAAUCUUAAGUUGGAACUGCCGCGGGAUAGGCGACCCCACGACAGUUUGAGAGCUCCGCGAUCUCGUGGAGAUCAGUUCGCCAGCUAUCUUGUGUUUAGUUGAAACUCAAUUACAAAAAAGUCGUGUUGAAGGUCUUCGGUCUUCUUUAGGUUAUGAUUUUAGUUUUGGAGUCAGUAGUAGUGGUCGCAGUGGCGGUCUUUGUAUCUUUUGGAAAAAUUCCUUGGAUGUUGCAAUAAAGAACUAUUCAGAGUAUCAUGUUGAUGCGUGGGUCACAGUACCAGGUAAAGAGCAGUGGAGGCUAACAUGUUUUUAUGGAGAAGCUACCAGGAGUCUACGUUACAAGACCUGGGAUACUAUGAAAAUAUUGAGGGGAGAAAGCACCCUCUCGUGGAUGUGCAUAGGUGAUUUCAAUGAGAUCGUGAGGCCUAAAGAGCAGCAUGGCCCUAAUGAACGUGACAGCUCGCAGAUUGAUGCGUUCAGAGAAACUGUUGAUGUGUGUAGAUUAGCGGACUUGGGAUACCGUGGACUAGACUGGACGUGGGAGAAGAAAGUUGCUGGAGGGCACUUCUGUCGUGUUCGCCUAGACAGAGAUUUGGCUUCGUCUUGCUGGUCUGCUCUUUUUCCUUUCGCUUCGGUUGAGCAUCUUACCGCUGCAAAGUUUGACCACUGCCCUAUUCUUCUGGAGUCCGAACUGAUUGAUACAAGCGUGUGA
rnacentral:rRNA from 1 species